AAAUCUCAACCUCCUUGGUUUUUUCUGGAGACCAAAGGAGGCUUGGACUUUGGAGGCCUUUGCUGCUCUUUUGAAGGCCAGCUCCUCUUGAAUGAAUUAGCGGGGUCCUCUUUGCCGAUCCUCGACAUGUGAUAAGAUGUUUCCGUGUCUUGUUUUCCGGCUCUGUUGCUUUUGGGACCCGCUUCUAACCGUCUCAACCUUGCGUCGAGACAAUGUUCGAGCCUGUCUCCCUUCUCGGGAAACCCUCUCGACCCCACGAAC
rnacentral:misc_RNA from 1 species